UUGGAAUUUUACCUUCUAGGAAUGCCAGCCAAUGCCCUCUAGCCUCAUGUCCAUAACCAUAUCCAGACAGGACCUAAUGGAGUGCAACCAUAUCAGGAGGCUAGAGGGUUGCUGAGGAUGGGCUAUAUCACAGGACUGGGACAGACCACAGGAAAGACUGUUUCCAAACAGGGAAGGUCGAUGAAAGACCCCCAUGGGCCACAGAAUGGAUUAUGUCUCCUCCGCACUCAGCGCACUGAUAACCACAUCAGCUUCAAGGACCCCCUCAGGGCCAUUACAGGAGGAUAUGCGGCUUCCCCCUGAGAGAUAGAAUGUCUCCAGCGAGCAUGACCACAAAUUAAGUGAAGGCAUCUGUGAAAUCUCCCCAACUUAACUCCUCACUCCAGAAAGCACCAGCAUUCCACAGCUGGCCCAUCUCCACACAUCCACUGACCCAUCUGUCCCACACGGCUAACUGGGCUCCUGUGUAUUCAUCACGGCAGAGGAACACGGUGGGGGAAGGUGGGGUGAGGAAGGUCCACAACAUCUGGGAACCAUCAAGCCAAAAGAGCCUUAGAUCCUGAGAUUCCAGUCUCCGACCUCUCUACUCUCUUCACCUCCCCCAUUGCCUCUACUCAACCCCUCCACCGCCACCUUUCUUCCCCAUCUGUCUCCCUUCCCCUAUUCUACAUUUCUCCCCCAACCAAGUCCUCUCUCCUCCCUUCGCCCUGGCUGCCCAUCAUUUCCAUGUGUCUUCGGCAAUGGGCCUAAUCCAAACAGAUUAUAACUGUUUCAAAAACAUACUCCCCUUCUUGCCCCCUCCACUCCUCAUCUCAGUCCUGUGUUCAUUGCAGGGAACAGAUAAUCUCUUUCAUGGAGGAGGAGCUACCGGUGUCAGCCAGGUCUGGGUUAACAGGUUAGUGCCGCACAGAACCAUUUCAGGAAUAAUGAGUAGGUCAGGCCCCAAAGUAAUCUGGCAGAUGCCUGUUCAAGACUCAGACGUGACACAAAACACACCAUCCAACCUUUUCCUCUUGCUACACUCCCAUGAGGUCCGCAUUGGAAUGGCCGCAGCUGGUCGCAUACUGUGCAGUGCGAAGCCCAUUGUCCCAGCCACGAUCUGGCGACUGCUGUUAGGCAGAGCGUAUGGGGGAAGCAGUCCAGUAGGGGGCUUGAGAGCUGGAGGGUAUCCCAAGAGACCACCAGGGCGCCUCAGAACGCCCCCCACGCCCCAAGCCUAUCACUACCUGCUGAACUCCUGCCUUCUGUGCUUUGUUUAGAUGGAAGCGCUGUCCUUAUUUACGAUAACAGAAAUAAAAGGAUUAGCAUAGUACUGGUGUUUCUCACAUAGUU